rnacentral:rRNA from 1 species
GACGAACGCUGGCGGCGUGCUUAACACAUGCAAGUCGAACGGAAAGGCCCUGCUUUUGUGGGGUGCUCGAGUGGCGAACGGGUGAGUAACACGUGAGUAACCUGCCCUUGACUUUGGGAUAACUUCAGGAAACUGGGGCUAAUACCGGAUAGGAGCUCCUGCUGCAUGGUGGGGGUUGGAAAGUUUCGGCGGUUGGGGAUGGACUCGCGGCUUAUCAGCUUGUUGGUGGGGUAGUGGCUUACCAAGGCUUUGACGGGUAGCCGGCCUGAGAGGGUGACCGGCCACAUUGGGACUGAGAUACGGCCCAGACUCCUACGGGAGGCAGCAGUGGGGAAUAUUGCACAAUGGGCGGAAGCCUGAUGCAGCAACGCCGCGUGCGGGAUGACGGCCUUCGGGUUGUAAACCGCUUUCGCCUGUGACGAAGCGUGAGUGACGGUAAUGGGUAAAGAAGCACCGGCUAACUACGUGCCAGCAGCCGCGGUGAUACGUAGGGUGCGAGCGUUGUCCGGAUUUAUUGGGCGUAGAGGGCUCGUAGGUGGUUGAUCGCGUCGGAAGUGUAAUCUUGGGGCUUAACCCUGAGCGUGCUUUCGAUACGGGUUGACUUGAGGAAGGUAGGGGAGAAUGGAAUUCCUGGUGGAGCGGUGGAAUGCGCAGAUAUCAGGAGGAACACCAGUGGCGAAGGCGGUUCUCUGGGCCUUUCCUGACGCUGAGGAGCGAAAGCGUGGGGAGCGAACAGGCUUAGAUACCCUGGUAGUCCACGCUGUAAACGGUGGGUACUAGGUGUGGGGUCCAUUCCACGGGUUCCGUGCCGUAGCUAACGCUUUAAGUACCCCGCCUGGGGAGUACGGCCGCAAGGCUAAAACUCAAAGGAAUUGACGGGGCCCCGCACAAGCGGCGGAGCAUGCGGAUUAAUUCGAUGCAACGCGUAGAACCUUACCUGGGUUUGACAUGGAUCGGGAGCGCUCAGAGAUGGGUGUGCCUCUUUUGGGGUCGGUUCACAGGUGGUGCAUGGCUGUCGUCAGCUCGUGUCGUGAGAUGUUGGGUUAAGUCCCGCAACGAGCGCAACCCUUGUUCACUGUUGCCAGCACGUUAUGGUGGGGACUCAGUGGAGACCGCCGGGGUCAACUCGGAGGAAGGUGGGGAUGACGUCAAGUCAUCAUGCCCCUUAUGUCCAGGGCUUCACGCAUGCUACAAUGGCUGGUACAGAGAGUGGCGAGCCUGUGAGGGUGAGCGAAUCUCGGAAAGCCGGUCUCAGUUCGGAUUGGGGUCUGCAACUCGACCUCAUGAAGUCGGAGUCGCUAGUAAUCGCAGAUCAGCAACGCUGCGGUGAAUACGUUCCCGGG